rnacentral:rRNA from 1 species
AUUCCAGCUCCAAUAGCGUAUAUUAACGUUGUUGCAGUUAAAAGGCUCGUAGUCAAACUUGUGGCUUUCGAGAGACUCGCACAUUACCUAGUGUGAUGACGCUGAGACUUUCAAGUCAUCUUUGCGGAGAAGUAAUUCUGCCCUUCACUGGGUUGGUUUUGCAAUCUGCAUCAAUUACUGUGAGUAAAACAAAGUGUUCAAAGCAGGCUAAUGCUUGUAUGAUUUAGCAUGGGAUAAUGAUAUAGGACUUGCGUUCUAUUUCGUUGGUUUUUAGACACAAGUAAUGAUUAAUAGGGAUGGUUGGGGGUGCUAGUAUUCAAUGGUCAGCGGUGAAAUGCACAGACCCAUUGAAGACUAACUUAUGCGAAAGCAUUCACCAAAAAUAUCUUCAUUA